rnacentral:tRNA from 1 species
GAUUUCUUUGUGCAAUGGUAGCGCGCUGACUCCAGAUCAGGAGGUUGCGUGUUCAAAUCACGUCGAGAUCA